AUACAACUUGUCAUGGAAAGUCAUUUACACACUUAAACGUUGUGAGUAUUCUAAUACCUCACUGUUAUUUGAAGAACUGUAUUUAUUUACUCCCUCAUAAGACAUGACUCAGCUAUAUUAAUUUGAGUGAGAAACAAGCGCUUUAUCAAUAUGUCUUUCCUCUAUCUAAUUUUCGUAGCACAUUAUAUAUUUUCUUGUCAUCUUCCUAUCUUUUCUUCUCAAUUCAAGAAUUCCAAAUACCAAUUCAUCCCCCACUAAAAAUUCAGAAAAGAAAAAAAAAAGAAUUGCAUAAAAACCAAGAAAAAAAUACUGUUUAAUUCAACGGAAAAAUUUGAUUAUGGGUAUACAAAACAUUUAGACCUCCUCUGUUCUUCCAAAAAAGAGAAACAGUAAAAGAAAGAAUAAGGGAAAAUUGUGUAUGAUACACGAUUAAGUUAUUACGAUGAGUACAUCGGGGCUGUUAUUUCCUUGUGUUCUUUUCUCAUACGUCUUCAAGGAUGCUACCAUUUAAUAAAAUGCUUUCAUAAUUGAAAGAUUUUAUCUUUGACUUGUAUCUAUUUUGUUAGUCUGGAAAGAUGAGUUCUAUUCCAAUGUUUGGUCUGCACCACAAUUUUCUCUGGGAACAGAACUCCAAAAAUCCUUUUAAAUUAGGUGUAUCCUUUCAAAUAUAUGAUUAGAUUCUUAGCAUUAAGAAAUAAUUUAUUACUGAAAUAUAAUGUUCUUUGCCACAUACAAAUAUAUGAAGUUUUAGAUUACGACUGACGAGAGAUUUUUAGUAACUGCCAUAUUUGGGAAGUCAUGUG
rnacentral:lncRNA from 1 species